GGCGAACGCUGGCGGCGUGCUUAACACAUGCAAGUCGAGCGGUAAGGCCCUUUCGGGGUACGACGAGCGGCGAACGGGUGAGUAACACGUGGGUGACCUCGCCCUCAGCUCUGGGAGUAAGCCUGGGGAAACUGGGUCUAAUACCGGAUAUGACUCCAUGACGCAUGUUGGUGGGGUAGGAAAGCCUUGUGCGGCUGAGGAUGGGCCCGCGGCCUAUCAGCUUGUUGGUGGGGUGANGGCCUACCAAGGCGACGACGGGUAGCCGGCCUGAGAGGG
rnacentral:rRNA from 1 species